UGGAAGAAAUGAGGAAAACAGUCUCAUUAUUAGUGUCAAACUCUGUGACAACUGCAUCGUUCUCUGGUACUACUUCAACAUCAUCAUCAUCUGAUAUGACUGCAACUGCAGUGACAUCUGGUACUACUACAAUUGCCUCACCAUCUGAUAAUAC